CCUCUCAAUUUUAGAGUCUUCCAAUAGAAAGCUUGUUCUUGUCUCUGUCUCCAGAGUGAAGUUUGUCUCCCUGACAGUUAAUCCUGAGACAGCCUUCCAUUGCCUUGAUAGGCUUGUCAUUCAUGCCUUGACACCUCUCAUUCAUCUGAGUCUGGCCUGCUGGAUAUGCAAAUGAUAGGAGGACUGAAAAUCAUAAUCCUUCAGCCGUGAUGGCGUCAACGUCACUAUUCUUGGAACAAGCCAUUUUUACCAGAGAUGUCUCCAAGAGCACCAGCAACCCCAGCUAUCUGGAUCUGAAGUGGAUAUGCUCAGAGACAUCCUGGCCCACCCCAAAGAAGAUGCUGCUGCACUCAGAAGACGCCAGAGCUAGCCACCACCCACACUGCAAGUCUGGAAGCUCUGCAAGGACCCAGCAAGGCAGCCUGCUCAGCGAAGGCUUUGUCUCCUGUGGCAGGAAGAGCAACAUUAAGAACAAGAACCCCGGGCUGGACUACCCCUGAGAUUUAAUGACCAGAGCUGAGACCCCCAAGACCACAAUGACUAUGGAGGGCUGUCAUUACCCUGCCUGACCCUCUAAUGCCUCUCAGUUCAAGGAGGCCACUGAGUGAAACUGAAGGCUGGUUUUCCUUGGAAGCCAGCGGCCCAUCCACCUGCUCCACUUCCCUGCCUCUUGCAGCCUCCGCUCAAACACUGUCGUGGCUUGGCAGCACUACAAGGCAGAGUGAAAACAGAUACUUCUACCCACAUUCCUAUCUCCUCUCAUUUACGCAGAUUAAAUGCUUUCUUUCCUUGUUUUACACUGCUAGGAUUUUCAUCACCCUGUUUUUUCUUUCUCUACAUCAGCUACAAGAAAAAAAAAAGGAGUUACUGAGCAACUAAGAAGUCACAACUGUUUUCAGUUUUAUUAAUGAGUUGUUAUACUUAUUUUAUAGAUAGAGAAUUACCAUUAUAACAUUGCUCCAUUGCCCACUCAUCCAUUCACGCAUCUGUCCAUCCGUCCAUCCACCCAUUUGUCCACUCCCCAAAUGGUCAUCAAUUGUCUACUGUGAGCCAAGCAAAGUGCUCCUUACUUUGGACUCUGAAUCCAGUGCUCUUUCUACUUCACCAUAGACACAUGCCCCUUGAGUAUAAGGGAGCUUGAUUCAUUCAACAAAUAUCUGUUGUCCAUCUCCAAUGUACUGGCAUAUUCUAAAUGCAUCCAACAAAAACCAAAAUGAAAAAAAAGAAAAACCCAUUCCUUCAAGGGGAUUGCAUUCGGACUGGGGGAGACAGAUAAAAUAAAAAUAAUGAAGUCAAAUAUAUAUGUUAGUGACAUGUGCCAUGAAGAAUAAUGCCCAAUAGGUAAAUGGGGCAAUUAACAAACGUAAUGUAAAUAAAUUAGUUCCAAGAAAUCAUUGACUCACCAACAGAGGGAACACAAUUUGGUCCAUGGUAAAAUAUUCCUUGGUAUUAAUAAUUUCUUCUCCUAAAGUAUUUCAGGGGCUGCCAAGCUGCUCUCCUGUUUCCUCUUCCUUGGGGCUGAUUGCAUCCCAUGAUGUGCCCAGGUUUUGAGAUGCUCCUCGUGAAUGAAAAUAGGACUGUCUGGUUCCUCCAUCCAUAGCAAGGGAGCCUAGACAGAAAUAACUUCUGUGCAUUUCUCCAGCUACAUUUAGGUAAGUGAUGCCUUUUCUUCGUUUUCUUUAAGAUGUCCUAUAAAACCCUAUUGAUGUAGCUCAGUUGUUUGAAAUUUAUGAUGCUUUAGAUAGGCUUUGGCCUGAGAUUGCCUUGAGGAAUGGUGUAGGUACACAAAUUAAGAAUAAAAAUAAGAUUGCAAAAAAUUGCACCACUUAAGGGAAUUAGUUGCUUUUUUCAUUAUCUUGAAUAAUUUGUUCUUAAAUGCAUCAGAGGGACCAAAUCAUAGCUGACUGAUCGGCUCGUUAUAAAUAAUUCUCACCUAUUCCUAAAAGCGGGGGCCUGUUGUGCACUUGCUACCUCCGUUUAGAGAAUAUUGCACUUCAAGCCCAUUGGAUUUGAAAGUAAUAGAAAUGGUCUUUUUAAAGCCAAUAUUCUAGAAUGAGCACUUCAUUAAAUCGAGACCCACCUUUUACCCAAAUUUAGCUAGACUUUAAUGUGCAUCACACAUCUCUAAUCUGGGCUUUUCCUAUAGCCUCUUUCAAAGGACAUAUUUGUUCAGCCUUAUCAGUGAGGUAUUCAAUCAUGCUUCCCUUGUAUCAGGCACCUCAAGGGCAGGAGCUAACACAAAUGUGCUUGGUUUUUAAUAGCUGAAAAUAUGUCUACGUGAGGUUAACUGUAUUUACCCAAUGCCAGAUACCUGAAAGAGUGUGAAAAAUUAAGGUAAUUAUUAAUGUCUCCAAAUAGCUGGAUGAUGGUGUCAUAUUUGCAAUGCAUAGAUUAUGCCAUCAUGUCAGAUUUGGGACACUUUGGGAGGUUGGGAAUGGGAUGGGGAUGGGUGGCAGUGAAUAACAUCAGACAGGGUGGAUACGUAAUUCCAAAGUUGGAAUUAGUGUCUCUAUUUUAACAGCAAUUCCUUUACUUAACAGCAAUUCUUUUCUGUUUAUCAUUUUAGGGAAAACUAGAAAAUACAGAAAUAUAUCAAGAAGAAAAAAAAUUUAAAAAUGACCCAAAAUCCCACCAACCAGAGACAGCUAUUAAUGAUUGUGGUAUAUUUAUUGUAAGUCUCUUUAUUUCUGUCUUCAUGCAAACACAUUUUUAAAGAAUGGACACUGGUAUUAUAUUGUUUAUACAACUCUAAAUGCUGCUUUUUCACUUAUUACAAUUAGGACUUUUUUCAUGUUAAUAAAUACUUCCUGAAAACAUAAAUAUCUAAUGGUUACAUCAAAAUUUAUUACCUUUUCCUUGUUGAUGAACAUUUAGGUUGCUUUCAUUUUUUCUUGCUUAUAUAAAAUAAACAUUCUUGAACAUAAAUACAUGUUAACAGCUCUGAAAAUUACUCCAUGCCCUUAUUCUUUUUCUUUCUUUCUUUCUUUUUUUUUUUUUUUUUUUGAGACAGGGUCUCACUCUGUCACCCAGGCUGGAAUACAAUGGCAUGAUCUCUGCCUCCCGGGUUCAAGAGAUUUUUGUUCCUCAGCCUCCCGAGUAGUGGGACCACAGGCGUGCACCACCAUGCCUGGCUAAUUUUUGUAUUUUUUGGUAGAGAUGGGGUUUCACCAUGUUGACCAGGCUGGUGUUGAACUCCUGGCUUCAAGAGAUCCACCCAUCUCAGCCUCCCAAAGUGCUGGGAUUACAGGCGUGAGCCGCUGUGCCCAGCCAUGCCCUUAUUCUUGAUCACCUUCCCUACAUUUGGAGGGGUUAUGGAGACAUAAAGUGUGCCUAAGAUCCUGAUAACAGAGCAGAUGGUUUAUUUUUUGUGGCAAGGAUAUUUUGUGGCAAGGAUGUUUUGCAUUGAUCAGUUGCAUUUAAUAAAUUAAUUACUUUAUUUAUUCAAUAGGAAUUUACUAAAGUCAUGCUAUACGCUAGGCACUGUGGAGGGACUGCAGAAAGACUUCAAGGACUGCACCGUCUUGUUAGAAAGAUGCCUAGACAACAUUUGAGAAACGCUGAUCAUGUCUGAUGACACAUAACUGCUAACAGUUACAUGGAAUUUUCUAUAUGCUAUAUACAAACAUACAAAUAUAUGUAUGUAUAUUUACUCAGCUCUCACAACAGCUACUACUGUUAUUAUGAAUCCUGUUUUAUAGUGAGAAAACUGAAACAUGGAGAGGUUAAGUAAUUUGCCCAAGAUCACAUAGCUACUAAGUGGUGGAACUGUGAUUAGAAUCCAGGCAUUCAGGCUCCAGAGUUCAUACUCUUCACAUACCACAUCUAUCUUGAAUAUAACAAUGUAGAGAAAAAGAAUUAUAGCAAGCAUAUGUCUAGGUAAGCAUUUUCCAGAAGUGACUGUUUUUUUGCAUUGGGUUUGUAAACUUUCAACAAUAAAGCAGGUUGGACUU
rnacentral:lncRNA from 1 species